rnacentral:rRNA from 1 species
UGGGGUUGCAGUGAAAUGGUGGCUGCGACUGUUUAAUAAAAACACAGCACUCUGCAAACACGAAAGUGGACGUAUAGAGUGUGACGCCUGCCCGGUGCUGGAAGAUUAAAUGAUGGGGUGCAAGCUCUUGAUUGAAGUCCCAGUAAACGGCGGCCGUAACUAUAACGGUCCUAAGGUAGCGAAAUUCCUUGUCGGGUAAGUUCCGACCUGCACGAAUGGCGUAACGAUGGCCACACUGUCUCCUCCUGAGACUCAGCGAAGUUGAAAUGUUUGUGAAGAUGCAAUCUACCCGCGGCUAGACGGAAAGACCCCAUGAACCUUUACUGUAGCUUUGCAUUGGAUUUUGAAUAAACCUGUGUAGGAUAGGUGGGAGACUAUGAAGUAGGGACGCUAGUUCUUAUGGAGUCAACCUUGAAAUACCACCCUGGUGUGUUUGAGAUUCUAACCUAGACCCCUUAUCGGGGUUGGGGACCGUGCAUGGUAGGCAGUUUGACUGGGGCGGUCUCCUCCCAAAUUGUAACGGAGGAGUACGAAGGUAUCCUAGGUACGGUCGGACAUCGUACUGAUAGUGCAAUGGCAAAAGGAUGCUUAACUGCGAGACUGACAAGUCGAGCAGAUACGAAAGUAGGUCAUAGUGAUCCGGUGGUUCUGUAUGGAAGGGCCAUCGCUCAACGGAUAAAAGGUACUCUGGGGAUAACAGGCUGAUUCCUCCCAAGAGUUCAUAUCGACGGGGGAGUUUGGCACCUCGAUGUCGGCUCAUCACAUCCUGGGGCUGUAGCCGGUCCCAAGGGUAUGGCUGUUCGCCAUUUAAAGUGGUACGUGAGCUGGGUUUAAAACGUCGUGAGACAGUUUGGUCCCUAUCUGCCGUGGGCGUUGGAAAUUUGAAGGGACCUGCUCCUAGUACGAGAGGACCGGAGUGGACGAAUCUCUGGUGUACCGGUUAUCACGCCAGUGGUAUUGCCGGGUAGCUAAAUUCGGAAGAGAUAACCGCUGAAAGCAUCUAAGCGGGAAACUCGCCUUGAGAUUAGAUUUCCCUGGGGGUUUAACCCCCCUAAAGAGUCGUUCGAGACUAGGACGUUGAUAGGUCAGGUGUGGAAGCGCGGUAACGCGUUAAGCUAACUGAUACUAAUUGCUCGUGAGGCUUGAUCCU